GUGGGUGACCUGCCUUCGAGUGGGGGAUAACGCUCCGAAAGGGACGCUAAUACCGCAUAACAUCCUGCCUUUUAAGAGGUGGAGAUCAAAGCCUGGGACCGCAAGGCCAGGCGCUCAAAGAGGGGCCCGCGUCUGAUUAGCUAGUUGGUGGGGUAAUGGCUCACCAAGGCUUCGAUCAGUAUCCGGCCUGAGAGGGCGGACGGACACACUGGGACUGAGACACGGCCCAGACUCCUACGGGAGGCAGCAGUGGGGAAUUGUUCGCAAUGGGCGCAAGCCUGACGACGCAACGCCGCGUGGAGGAUGAAGAUCUUCGGGUCGUAAACUCCUUUCGAUCGAGACGAAUGGCCUCUGGGUGAACAAUCCAGAGGAGUGACGGUACCGAGAGAAGAAGCCCCGGCUAACUCCGUGCCAGCAGCCGCGGUAAUACGGGGGGGGCAAGCGUUGUUCGGAAUUACUGGGCGUAAAGGGCUCGUAGGUGGCCAACUAAGUCAGACGUGAAAUCCCUCGGCUUAACCGGGGAACUGCGUCUGAUACUGGAUGGCUUGAGUUUGGGAGAGGGACGCGGAAUU
rnacentral:rRNA from 1 species